rnacentral:misc_RNA from 1 species
AAGUCGUAACAAGGUUUCCGUAGGUGAACCUGCGGAAGGAUCAUUAACACGUAUCCAAACGUUAAAACCCCCCUGUGAACCUUCACCACUUCUUAAGCCCUCCCGGGGGUAGAGCAGGCAAUCCCUAGUAAAUCAUUGUCUUAACAGGUUUUGAGUUAGGGACGUCCCCCACUACGGGACUUGCACAAUUCACCAAACACUUUAAGAUUGAUGGUUGCUUGGGGGCACCAGGGCAAUACUCUCUUCUGCACAAGGGCGUCGCAGUCAACGCUCGCUGGAGGCCCACACGGCCGGCGACCGGGGCCAUUACCACGACCUACUACGUGGCCUACGUCACCCCCCCGAGCAUGGCAAGCGGACGCGCCGAAAGGUUGUAUCCGGAUAUCUUGGUUCUC